rnacentral:rRNA from 1 species
GACGAACGCUGGCGGCGCGCUUAACACAUGCAAGUCGAACGGAAAGGCCUGCUUUCCCUUGUGGAUUGCGGGUACUCGAGUGGCGAACGGGUGAGUAACACGUGAGUGAUCUGCCCCCAACUUGGGUAUAAGCCUGGGAAACUGGGUCUAAUUCCCGAUAGGACUGCAGGGUGGUGCCUGUGGUGGAAAACGAUUUUCUAGUGGUUGGGGAUGAGCUCGCGGCCUAUCAGCUUGUUGGUGGGGUAAUGGCCUACCAAGGCGGCGACGGGUAGCCGGCCUGGGAGGGUGGACGGCCACAUUGGGACUGAGAUACGGCCCCGACUCCUACGGGAGGCAGCAGUGGGGAAUAUUGCACAAUGGGCGGAAGCCUGAUGCAGCGACGCCGCGUGGGGGAUGACGGCCUUCGGGUUGUAAACUCCUUUCGACCGCGAGGAAGCCACCUGGUUGGAAGGGUGGUGACGGUAGUGGUAGAAGAAGCACCGGCUAACUACGUG